rnacentral:rRNA from 1 species
AGUGAACGCUGGCGGUAGGCCUAACACAUGCAAGUCGAACGGCAGCACAGGAGAGCUUGCUCUCUGGGUGGCGAGUGGCGGACGGGUGAGGAAUACAUCGGAAUCUACUUUUUAGAGGGGGAUAACGUAGGGAAACUUACGCUAAUACCGCAUACGACCUACGGGUGAAAGCAGGGGAUCUUCGGACCUUGCGCGAUUGAAUGAGCCGAUGUCGGAUUAGCUAGUUGGCGGGGUAAAGGCCCACCAAGGCGACGAUCCGUAGCUGAUCUGAGAGGAUGAUCAGCCACACUGGAACGGAGACACGGUCCAGACUCCUACGGGAGGCAGCAGUGGGGAAUAUUGGACAAUGGUCGCAAGCCUGAUCCAGCCAUACCGCGUGUGUGAAGAAGGCCUUCGGGUUGUAAAGCCCUUUUGUUGGGAAUGAAAUCCAGCUGGUUAAUACCCGGUUGGGAUGACGGUACCCAAAGAAUAAGCACCGGCUAACUUCGUGCCAGCCGCCGCGGUAA